rnacentral:lncRNA from 1 species
AGCCACCCCAGACAUUACAAACAACUGCAACAAAUGAGUCUGGCAGCAUAAAAAAUGUCUAGUGUUCAAGUCUUCAUAGUGAGACCCAUACAUCUUGUACACAAUAUGUCGAAUGUUUGUUGCAGCAGGUGAAUCAAACCCAAAGACACUGGACAGUCUGUGAAAGGGAGCAAGAAUUGCAGUUCUGAAGGCCCCUGACUUUGGUUGUUUACAGAGUUCAAUCCUGUUUAUUGUGCUCCUUGGUACCUUCUUCAUCUGCAUAUCCUGAAGGUUCUUCCCCUGGUUUUAGGAAUCUGCCUACAUAUUCAUAUUCUUCUUUAAACUGCAUUUCCCAUUCUCGAACACUCUCCAUUUGCGCUGCAUUCAAGUCUGAGAGAUCAUCAUAUUCAUCUCUAAGUGCAUCCUUAUCUAGGCAAAAUGUUGCCAGUCUUCUGGAGGCAUCCCUACCAGCAAAUAUUCCAUAUGCACCCGCGGGGCCCUACAACUUGCGGCAUUUGGUCACAGCAAAGACUUUCCCAUUGACCUCAAGCAGGAGGCGCAGCUUGUGCAACUCGACCGACCUACUGGUGAAGCUACUUGAGGCUGAAGUCCCACAUCUCCAUGCGCUGCAGGGAGGGGACCAGGCUCUCCUUCCCCGCCCUGGCCCCUCCUCCCGCCCCAUUCUUGAACACUCAGGGUCACUUGGCCACUGAGCCACAUCCCCAGCCCUAUUUUGUAUUUUAUUUAGAGUCAGGGUCUCACUGAGUUGCUAAGCAACUUGCCUUUGCUGAGGCUGGCUUUGAACUUGCGAUCCUCCUGCCUCAGCCUCUGGAAUCACUGGGAUUACAGGCGUGGGCCGUUGUGCCCAGUGGUAUUUGUUCUUUUUAAAAUAUUUCUUGCUGAGCUUCUUGUGUUUGUGACUGGUGUCCUUCGUCAAUUUCAAGAAAAUCAUUGCUGUUUAUCUCUUCAGAUCAUGCUUUUGUCUUUUUCUCUCCUCUUGUGACUUACGCUAUGUUAGACCUUUGGAGUACCUCUGACAUGGCUCCUGUGUUCUGAUUUUCCAUUCUUUUUCUUUGUGUGGGUUGGAACUGUUUGCUACCUUGUAUCAUGACAGUUAAUCUUGGUUUCUGCUGUUGGACUGCUAUCACAUGUAGUAACAAGGCCCUUAAUAUCAGAUACUGCCUUUUAGAGUGAUAGGAUGUUGACAUGACUUUUAUCUAUUGAUUUCAAAUUUAGGAGUCUGUAGGAGAAUCAGGAAAUUUUUGUCUUUCCAUUUCUUCUUCAUUUGGGGGUAUAUUUUAAUUACAGUUGGCACUCAGCAGUCUUUUCCUUUUCUCAUGGUUGCUUUAUUGUUUGUUUUGUUUUGUUUUGUUUUGUUUUUUCAAAUUGUCCAGCUUUAUCAUGUUUCCUAAUUUCCUAUUAUAUCAGGGAUUAUGAAUUAGGGAAAUUUUGAAAGAUGUUCUAGGGCUGGGGAUGUGGCUCAAGCGGUAACGCGCUCGCCUGGCAUGCGUGCGGCCCAGGUUCGAUCCUCAGCACCACAUACAAAC